rfam:Triticum urartu cultivar G1812 contig606946, whole genome shotgun sequence.
UGUGUACUCCCUCUGUUCCAAAGUACUUGACUUCCAUUUGUCCAAAAAUGGAUGUACCUAUAUACUAAGACAUGUCUAGAUACAUAUAUAUUUUGACAAUGAGAAGGCAUGUAUUGUGCAACGGAGGGAGUAGAAU